AUACGUAGGGGGCUAGCGUUAUCCGGAAUUACUGGGCGUAAAGGGUGCGUAGGUGGUUUCUUAAGUCAGAAGUGAAAGGCUACGGCUCAACCGUAGUAAGCUUUUGAAACUAAGAGACUUGAGUGCAGGAGAGGAGAGUAGAAUUCCUAGUGUAGUGGUGAAAUGCGUAGAUAUUAGGAGGAAUACCAGUUGCGAAGGCGGCUCUCUGGACUGUAACUGACACUGAGGCACGAAAGCGCGGGGAGCAAACAGGAUUAGAUACCCUGGUAGUCCACGCCGUAAACGAUGAGUACUAGCUGUCGGGGGUUACCCCCCUCGGUGGCGCAGCUAACGCAUUAAGUACUCCGCCUGGGAAGUACGCUCGCAAGAGUGAAACUCAAAUGAAUUGACGGGG
rnacentral:rRNA from 1 species